ensembl:lncRNA
UCUAUGUAGUCCAGUGUCUUCUCUAAGUAGUCCAGUGUCUUCUCUAGGUAGUCUAGUGUGUCUUCUCUAUGUAGUCCAGUGUCUUCUCUAUGUAGUCCAGUGUCUUCUCUAUGUAGUCCAGUGUCUUCUCUAAGUAGUCCAGUGUCUUCUCUAAGUAGUCCAGUGUCUUCUCUAUGUAGUCUAGUGUGUCUUCUCUAUGUAGUCCAGUGUCUUCUCUAGGUAGUCUAGUGUGUCUUCUCUAUGUAGUCAAGUGUCUUCUCUAUGUAGUCCAGUGUCUUCUUUAUGUAGUCCAGUGUCUUCUCUAUGUAGUCCAGUGUCUUCUCUCAGUAUUCCAGUGUCUUCUCUAUGUAGUCCAGUGUGUCUUCUCUAUGUAGUCCAGUGUGUCUUCUCUAUGUGGUCCAGUGUGUCUUCUCUAUGUGGUCCAGUGUGUCUUCUCUAUGUAGUCCAGUGUCUUCUCUAUGUCAUGCCCUCUUCACGACUGUCUUGGUGUGUUUGGUUCAUGAUAGUUUGUUGGUGAUAUGGACACCUAGGAACUUGACGCUCUCAACCUGCUCCACUACAGCCCUGUUGAUGAGAAUGCUCGGCCCUCCUUUUCCUGUUGCCCAUGAUCAUCUCCUUUGUCUUGAUCACUUUGAGGAAGAGGUUGUGAUCCUAGCACCACACUGUCAGGUCUCUGAACUCCUCCCUAUAGGCUGUUUUGUUGUUGUCAGUGAUCAGGCCUACCACUGUAUGUCAACAGCAAACUUAAUGUUGGUGUUGGAGUCGUGCUUGGCCAUGUAGUCAUGGGUGAGCAGGGAGUACAGGAGGGGACUGAGCACGCACCCCUGAGGGGCUCCCGUGUUGAGGAUCAGCGUGGCAGAUGUGUUGUUACCUACCCUUAAGACCUGGGGACGGCCAGUCAGGAAGUCCAGGAUCCAGUUGCAGAGGGAGGUGUGUAGUCCCAGGGUCCUUAGCUUGGUGAUGAGCUUUGAGGUGCACUUUGGUGUUGAACGCUGAGCUGUAGUCAAUGAAUAGCAUUCUCACAUAGGUGUUCCUCCUUGUCCAGGUGGGAAAGGGUAGUGUGGAGUGCAAUAGAGAUUGUAUCAUCUGCGGAUCUGGUGGGGCGGUAGGCAAAUUGGAGUGGGGUCUAGGGCUUCUGGGAUAAAGGUGUUGAUGUGAGCCAUGACCAAACUUUCAAAACACUUCAUGGCCACAGAUGUGACUGCUACGGGUCGGUAGUCAUUUAGGAUUGUUACCUCGGUGUUCUUGAGCACAGGGACUAUGGUGGUCUGCUUGGAACAUAUUGGUAUUACAAACUCGGUCAGGGACAGGAAUAAGGAUAUCUUAUAGGCGUCCUGAUAAUUGUCCCGUUCCUUGAAAGCGGAACAUUAGCUCGAUGCGGAUGUUGGCUGUAAUCGAUGGCUUCCGGUUUGGAUAUUAACAUACUGUCACUGAGGGGACAGAAUCAUGCAGUGCUGGUUUGCGGGCGUGACCGAGUGCGCACUCUUCGUUGUUUUUCCUUUCUAUUGAAUACUCUAUUGUCCUGUUGAAAUAUUAUCGAUUAUUUAGACAAUUGACAACCUGAGGAUUAUUUAGAAACAUCGUUUAGCGUGUUUCGACAAACUUUACCGGUACUAUUAGGAUGUAUUCGUCUGUAUGUUUUGACCGCCUUGGAGCCAGUGGAUUACUGAAAACGCGCCAACAAAACUAGGUUUUUGGCAUAUAAAGAGGGACUUCAUUGAACUAUACAAACAUUUAUUGUGUAGCUGGGACUCUUGUGACUGCAACCAUAUGAAGAUCUUCAAAGAUAAGUGAUUAACACUUGUAUUUUUUUUAAUGAAUGUUUAUUAUGAAUUAUUUGGUAUUUUAAAUAAGGCGCUCUGAAAUUUCCCCGGAUGUUGUCGAGAUGGGUCGCUAGAUAGAUAAAUAAAUACAGAAUGGGGAUGAGGUAGUUGGAUGGACUAUUUACAGAUGGGCUAUGUACAGGUGCAGUGAUCUGUGAGCUGCUACAACAGCUGGUACUUAAAGCUAGUGAGGGAGAUAAGAGGCUCCAGCUUUAGUGAUUUUUGCAGUUCGUUCCAGUCAUUGGCAUUAUAUAAUACAUAUCACGUAUCGAAUCUAGAUAAGGGACAUGUAACAGGUGUGUGUGUGUGUGUGUGUGUGUGUGUGUGUGUGUGUGUGUGUGUGUCUAAGAGCGAUCAGAUAGAUUACAAGGUACUCAAGCCCCCUAGACUGGAACGCAAAGAUUAGGCCUCUCCAUGCUUGACUCACUUACUGUAGCACUCUAAAUACUUAAUGUUUAACAACUCCAUUAAAGAGGCUAACAUGAGAGAGAUAGGGAGAGGGAGAGAGACAGAAAGAGACUGAGAGAAAGAGAGAGAGUGAGAGAAAGAGAGAGACAGAGAUUGAGGAGAGAGAGAGAGAAGGAAAUAGAGGAGUGUGAAAGAGAGGAGACGAGAGAAAGACAGGAGAUGAGAGUAGGAAAGAUACAGUGAAGGAGAGGAGAUGAGAGAUAUGGUGGAGAGAAGAUGAGGGAAGGAGAGAUAUGGUGAAGGAGAAGAUGAGAGAAGGAGAGAUAUGGUGAAGGAGAGAAGAUGAGAGAAGGAGAGAUACAGUAAAGGAGAGGAGAUGAGAGAAGGAAAGCAACACGUAGGUAUCAACUGUGUGCCUGUGUGUGCAUUCACUCACGACACAGUUUCCCCUCUUAAAUACUAUAUUACCUCACAUGGGGAUGGGAGAGUAAAUCCUGACCCCUACUUAGGGAGAAGUUGACCCCCCGGUUGACCUCUGGAGAGGGACAGGUCAGCCUGUUACUAUAAAGGUCACAUGAUGAACAGCCUGCUGAGGUUGUGGACUAGUUGUCCUUUAGGUUACAGAGAGCUGGUAGUCCCAUCCACCAAACUACCAGGUGGGUGGUAUAGAGGGGAUGGACUAGUUGUCCUUUAGGUUACAGAGAGCUGGUAGUCCCAUCCACCAAACUACCAGGUCGGUGGUAUAGAGGUGAUGGACCUGCUAGUUGUCCUUUAGGUUACAGAGAGCUGGUAGUCCCAUCCACCAAACUACCAGGUGGGUGGUAUAGAGGUGAUGGACCUGCUAGUUGUCCUUUAGGUUACAGAGAGCUGGUAGUCCCAUCCACCAAACUACCAGGUCGGUGGUAUAGAGGUGAUGGACCUGCUAGUUGUCCUUUAGGUUACAGAGAGCUGGUAGUCCCAUCCACCAAACUACCAGGUGUGUGGUAUAGAGGUGAUGGACCUGCUAGUUGUCCUUUAGGUUACAGAGAGCUGGUAGUCCCAUCCACCAAACUACCAGCUGUGAAACAGGGAAUGGACUCAGGGGGUAUGCUAAUUUGGUAUAGAGCAGACCUAACUCACUCCAUUAAAUUAAUCAAAACAGGAACAUUUUUCAUUUGGCUAGAAAUUCAAAGGAAAUUAUCUUAACAGAGAAUCAUUUCCUCCUAUGUGCUACCUAUAUCCCCUCACUAGAAUCCCUGUACAACAGAGACAAAUGUCCUCCUGUGUGCUACCUAUAUCCCCCCACUAGAAUCCCUGUACUUUAAUGAAGACAGCUUCUCCAUUCUGGAGGGGGAAAUAAAUCAUUUCCAGGCCCAGGGACAUGUACUGGUCUGUGGCGGCCUAAAUGCCAGAACGGGACAAGAACCUGACACCCUCAGCACACAGGGGGACAAACACCUGCCUGGAGGUGACAGCAUCCCCUCCCCCGUAUGCCCCCCUAGACACAACUACGACAACAUAACCAACAAAAACAGGUCACAACUCCUGCAGCUCUGUCGCACGAUGGGUAUGUACAUAGCUGGUAAAUUUGCUCUGGCUAUCUACUCCAAUUUCAGACCACCGGUAAGAUAGUCUAGCUAGCUACAUUUUCAGAUAUUACACAUUUCUAAAUGAAACUAUACAGUGGUUUUAUUUCAAGUGUACUGUUAGCUAGCUAACGUUAGCUGGCUGGGUUGCUAGCUAACGUUAUGUGUAUGAAUCUUACUCUUUGUAUCUCAGACACAUUUGCUUGACUAGUUAAAGCCGUAGAACUGUCAUAUAUAUAUAUAUAUAUAUAUAUAUAUAUGUAAACAUUCAUACACAUAGCUCAUAUAUUAUACAGUGCCAAGCCAAACCGCCUGACUCAAGUCAUCUUACCUACCCCUGUUAAAACAGGAACUAGCUCACACAGCCAGCAAUAAAACUACCCCCCUAACACUAUCCCCUCAGCUUUGUUGUCUCCCGACCCCAGGAAACAAAGACAUUCCAUCGCACACAUACACCCAGCCAUAAAACUGACCCCCUCUGCUCUCCUGUGUCAGAUUUCCUGAUACACAAAUGUCUCCUUGUAUAAACACACAUCUCACCCCCUCUACUGGUCAGGGAGCUCAGAGAACAAGACUCUGCUAUGCACCAAUGGGGCCCGCUCUGGCUAGAGCAAGGACCGCCUCCAACCCUUUGUGACCAGUCAGAAGACCAAAACGACAAGACUCCACCUACUUUAUUCUAUGUAUAAAAAUGAAUGUAACCUUUGUAUAAGGCCUCUUUUUCACCUGACUCCUUGCC